rnacentral:lncRNA from 1 species
UGUAACCAAUCACCAACAUACGCCACCAACUUGGAAUUGUAUUUAAAUUGCUGGUCCUGCCACACUGAAGAGUUUUGCUACAAGGCCAUCAGUGAGAUUGGUGACCUUGCUGUCCAUCCCUGGACCUACUCUACCAUUCCCUGACGUCCAGCCAUCAGCUGGAGAGAACCACCAGACAAGGAAGAGAAGUCAUGUGGCAUCAGAGGUAACCCAGAUGUGACUCCAGCAAUCAGCAGGGAUUAGAGAAGAAAGUCUCUCAUGUGAAGCUCAGAAGACAGUAAAAAAU